UACGUAGGGGGCGAGCGUUGUCCAGAUUUAUUGGGCGUAAAGAGCGUGUAGGCGGCCAGGUAGGUCUGCUGUGAAAACUCGAGGCUCAACCUCGAGACGUCGGCGGAAACCAUCUGGCUAGAGUCCGGAAGAGGAGAGUGGAAUUCCUGGUGUAGCGGUGAAAUGCGCAGAUAUCAGGAAGAACACCCGUGGCGAAGGCGGCUCUCUGGGACGGUACUGACGCUGAGACGCGAAAGCGUGGGGAGCGAACAGG
rnacentral:rRNA from 1 species